GAUGAACGCUGGCGGCGUGCCUAAUACAUGCAAGUCGAGCGAACGGACGAGAAGCUUGCUUCUCUGAUGUUAGCGGCGGACGGGUGAGUAACACGUGGAUAACCUACCUAUAAGACUGGGAUAACUUCGGGAAACCGGAGCUAAUACCGGAUAAUAUUUUGAACCGCAUGGUUCAAAAGCGAAAGACGGUCUUGCUGUCACUUAUAGAUGGAUCCGCGCUGCAUUAGCUAGUUGGUAAGGUAACGGCUUACCAAGGCAACGAUGCAUGGCCGACCUGAGAGGGUGAUCGGCCACACUGGAACUGAGACACGGUCCAGACUCCUACGGGAGGCAGCAGUAGGGAAUCUUCCGCAAAGGGCGAAAGCCUGACGGAGCAACGCCGCGUGAGUGAUGAAGGUCUUCGGAUCGUAAAACUCUGUUAUUAGGGAAGAACAUAUGUGUAAGUAACUGUGCACAUCUUGACGGUACCUAAUCAGAAAGCCACGGCUAACUACGUG
rnacentral:rRNA from 1 species